CUCGGCGUUGCUACUUGCUAGCUCUCGCGCGUCGGCUCCACGCGGUGCGCCAUGGAGCUCGUGCCCGCCGGUCCACCUACACCUGUUAGCCUCACACCCUCACCUCGCAGUCCUCGCCUCCAGGCUCCAGCGCCGCCAGUCUUCUCCAAUCUCCAUGACGCUCCGGCAGUCCGGCAUCCCUCGUGCCCGUCCUCCGCCGCCUGCCAACCUCCACCGCUGUGGCCGCAGGGCCUCGCCUUUUUGGCGACUCCACCAAAGUGACGGAACCAAAAUCCGUCGCUCUCAUCACUGGAGCUGCCUACUCCAUGCAGAGUUGUGGUCCUCCUUCCGCUCCAAUAGGCUGCGGUGGCCGCGCCCCCUCUACAUGCUCUGCAGUCUGCACGUCCACCUCACCAUUGCCGAUUCCCGUCGGCGCCCCUGCUAGAGGCUGAUUGCUGGCCACGACGGCUGUGACAGACUCGACAUUUGCCUCCCCCUAUCGUCAUCAAGGUCCUUCACUUGAGCAAUCUCCUGCUGCAGCUACGUCUCCACUAGUGCUGGCAAAGGUUAUCCGGCUCAAUUCAGCUAAUCAGACCCAAUUAAGCCACCUUAUCAGUUCUCUCUCUCUCUCUUUCUCUACAAAUGGUGCAGUAGUUGAUUGAAAUCCUUUCUGUAUGCUCUUUUGUUUAUUCAAAUUGAUCUGCAAUUCAUACCUGCAGCCUUUUGUGUGCUCAUGAUUUUGCUACAGGUCUGUCAAGCAUAUGUGCUCGAGCAUGGAGUGAUUCCCAGUGAGGCAUCUAUGUGGGUGAUGAAUACAUUGAAUAGCAAAUGUUUGAUGCAGGCCGGCACUACAAACUGAUACUAUCUUGCACAUGCUGCUCAGAUCAGCCACAACAUAUGCAGUCAUUUGUGCUUUAUCAUUUACAAUUGUAAUUGAACUAUCUUUGUGAUGAAUGAUUGCAUGGCCUUGAUCAUCAGUCUUGAGUUGUAAUGUUCAAUGUUUUGGUGUCAAUUGAUAGAUGAUUCCUAUUUGUACUAAUAUGUAUUUUUUUUGCGGGUA